AUUGAACGCUGGCGGCAGGCCUAACACAUGCAAGUCGAGCGGAUGAAGGGAGCUUGCUCCUGGAUUCAGCGGCGGACGGGUGAGUAAUGCCUAGGAAUCUGCCUGGUAGUGGGGGAUAACGUCCGGAAACGGGCGCUAAUACCGCAUACGUCCUGAGGGAGAAAGUGGGGGAUCUUCGGACCUCACGCUAUCAGAUGAGCCUAGGUCGGAUUAGCUAGUUGGUGGGGUAAAGGCCUACCAAGGCGACGAUCCGUAACUGGUCUGAGAGGAUGAUCAGUCACACUGGAACUGAGACACGGUCCAGACUCCUACGGGAGGCAGCAGUGGGGAAUAUUGGACAAUGGGCGAAAGCCUGAUCCAGCCCUGCCGCGUGUGUGAAGAAGGUCUUCGGAUUGUAAAGCACUUUAAGUUGGGAGGAAGGGCAGUAAGUUAAUACCUUGCUGUUUUGACGUUCCCCCCUGAAUAAGCACCGGCUCACUUCGUG
rnacentral:rRNA from 1 species